AAGUCGUAACAAGGUCUCCGUAGGUGAACCUGCGGAGGGAUCAUCAUAGAAAACAAUAUUCUAAACCCCAAGUGUUAGGAGAAAAGAGGGGAGGGGGAAAAAGGGGUAUUACUCUUUUUUUUUUCUCUCCUUCUUUUUUCCUGAUGCUUCAAACAAACGAUCACAACUAAAGAGAGAAAAUUGUGUGGAUACCUGGGUUUUUUUUUCGAGGGGAAUUAAAAGUGCUUGCCUGAUAAUCUGAUUAUUGGAAUUGGAAAGAGAAAACAAUAUACAACUUUCAACAACGGAUCUCUUGGCUCUCA
rnacentral:misc_RNA from 1 species